AGCAGCCGCGGUAAUUCCAGCUCCAAUAGCGUAUAUUAAAGUUGUUGCAGUUAAAAGCUCGUAGUUGAAUUUCGGAGUUUGUCGGUUGGUCGGGCUUUAUUGUCCGCACUGACCUGAUAGAUUCCUACCUUCUGAAUAACCAGCAUGCUAUUAAUUUAGUGCGUUGGGGAAGCAGAGCUAUUACCUUGAAAAAUUGAGUGCUUAAAGCAGGCUUAUGCUUGAAUAGAUUAGCAUGGAAUAAUAAAAUAGGACGGCUUGGUUCUAUUUUGUUGGUUUCUAGGAUCACCGUAAUGAUUAAUAGGGAUAGUUGGGGGCAUUAGUAUUCAAUUGUCGGAGGUGAAAUUCUUGGAUUUAUUGAAGGCUAACUUCUGUGAAAGCAUUUGCCAAGGAUGUUUCAUUAAUCAAGAACGAAAGUUAGGGAUCGAAGACGAUCAGAUACCGUCGUAGUCUUAACCAUAAACUAUGACCGACUAGGGAUCGGACGAUGUUAAUUUUUAAUGUACUCGUUCGGUCGCCGUUA
rnacentral:rRNA from 1 species